GUCUUCGUAGCUCAGCUGGUAGAGCAAUUGACUCUUAAUCAAUGGGUCGGGGGUUCGAAUCCCCCCGAGGACA
rnacentral:tRNA from 1 species